rnacentral:rRNA from 1 species
AUUGAACGCUGGCGGCAGGCCUAACACAUGCAAGUCGAACGGUAACAGGAAACAGCUUGCUGUUUCGCUGACGAGUGGCGGACGGGUGAGUAAUGUCUGGGAAACUGCCUGAUGGAGGGGGAUAACUACUGGAAACGGUAGCUAAUACCGCAUAACGUCGCAAGACCAAAGAGGGGGACCUUCGGGCCCCUUGCCAUCGGAUGUGCCCAGAUGGGAUUAGCUAGUAGGUGGGGUAACGGCUCACCUAGGUGACGACACCUAGCUGGUCUGAGAGGAUGACCAGCCAUACUGGAACUGAGACACGGUCCAGACUCCUACGGGAGGCAGCAGUGGGGAAUAUUGCACAAUGGGCGCAAGCCUGAUGCAGCCAUGCCGCGUGUAUGAAGAAGGCCUUCGGGUUGUAAAGUACUUUCAGCGGGGAGGAAGGGAGUAAAGUUAAUACCUUUGCUCAUUGACGUUACCCGCAGAAGAAGCACCGGCUAACUCCGUGCCAGCCGCCGCAGUAA